ACACAGAGACUGUGCGGGUGACAUUUUGACCAAUGAAUUCAUAUGAUCCAAACAGGCCUGACACCCUUGGCUUAAAGUCACCAAACACAGAGGAGCUACUGUGAGCUACUGUCAAAUGAAGAAGGUUUUACUUUUGAGGCAUUCUGAGGCAUGAAGUCACAGCCCUGCUACAUCCAUGUUUGCUGCAGGGUACUCUGCCCUCUGUGAAAGUGCUUCAUCAUUUAACUUGAUGUUUAAAUUUCAUGUGCAUUAAUCAGGGAAUUAAAAAGAAAAUUACACAGGCUUCUCAAUUUGCUGUAAGAUUAAUGGAAGAAAAGUCCAAAAUUACUUGCAGAGCUGCAACAUGAGUCCAAAUUUCCUGUCAUGGAUCUGAAAAUAACCCCUACGCUCUGCUUGUUUUAACUGCAGCAAUAUUUUCUGGGGUUUUUGUUGAAUUUAUAGGAGCAGCACUGUAAUUACACACAGUGAUGGAUCAGGGUCCACGCAGCAGAGCACAACACAAGCAAACACGAUCCGUUUUAGGGAAAUCAGGGAGUGGGGUAAAACAAACCGUGGCAGGCGUGUCGCCCGUCACUCUGCCAGAUCUAUUAGAUGGAGACCCAGAGGAGGAGAAGAUGAGGCUGGGAAGAACAUGAGGCCAGGAAGCACCACAGCCUGUUGGAGGAGGACACAGUGUCCGUUCACUGAAGGACAUGCUGAGUCAUUCAGGGAAGUGCUGCAGUUUCACACGCUUGGAUACUUCAAUUUAAUAUUUUUGGAGAGUAUGCAUGCAUAUACUGUACAUUCAGAUACAAAGCACAUAGAGGAAUGUAAAUUCAAAGGCUGUGAUGUCUGCAGCAGAUGGUUAUACAGCGACACUGAGAAUAACCAAGUACAUUUUUCUCAAAUACUGUGCUUAAAGUGGCUGUAAUUAAUACCUGUAUGUUAGUAAUGGCUCACAUGAUUACAAAAUGCAAAGAACCAUUGUUUGAAGUGAUGAACUCUGCAGAUUCUCUCAGCUCUAUGAAGCAAGUCUGCAACUUAACUGUUCUGUUUCAUUCUCACUGCUCUCAAUAACCAUGUUUCCAGCUGCAGCGACUAGCAACAAGCCCACUGUACUAGCAAAUGAAUUUAAUAUUCAGAAAUUUCCCUCAGGGGUUUGAUAAAAUAUCAGUGUCACAGUUUAUUCAUUCAUUCUCUGCCUGCAUUUGCAAGGACUCUGCUAUCAUUUCAGAACCAGUGUCCCCUCCUCCUGACUUGCAGCCGUCUGACUCUUCCCCGCCCACCUGUUCACCUUUCUCACUCUCUGCCAGAUCAAUCCACACCAUAGCUUUCCAGCUGCCAGUGUUUAGAUUUGGCUUUUUACCUGGAUUAUCUGCCUCUUCUGUUACAAGUCCUGCCUACACCCUGACUUCACCUCCUUUGUCUUUGCCUACUUAUGCCUGUCAAGCCUAAAAAAAAGCUCCCUCUUUUACCUGAGCUGUGACAGUCAAUUUAUGAACCAUGUCUACUUUUCCAUUUAUGGAUGAUUUCAAUUCUUGCUCCACUAAAUUUCAGGGGUAAAUCAUACACUUUUUAAGGUGUAUUUUUCUUAAACAAACUAUAAAGUUGAAGUUUUCACUUUUUGGUCAGCGUAGACAAGAAAUCCAUAAAAGGAUAGCAGAGAUAGCAUUAAAAGCUCUAGAGCAGCUACUAAAUGGACCGUGAGGUGAAAUUGCUUUGUCAGUUGCCAAUAGUCGUCUUUCCUUUUUUUCUUCCCUCUGUCCUCCUUUACCCCCUGGAUUUCAUUAACUGAUGUGAAAGCAUGAACAUGACUAAAACUAGGAACGCAAAGUUUUUACAGUGAAACUAAACUCUGUUCCUCCUCACAAUCAUUUGUUUUACUUUGGAUACUUUCGACAUUUUCCUUCUGAUUCUUGCUUUUAUCUAAUUGUUUACUUGUCAUUUAAUACAGAUAAAAGUAACAGUGGAAUCCUUUUGCUGAAAGAUUUGAGGACUUCUUCCACUGGGGUCACAUCAAUUCACAUGCUAUCUCUCUCUUUUCUCCCUCAGACACCCAGGGUUUUUCCAGGGUCAAUGUCUGCACUCUUUAUCUCUGCUCGCCUUUGAUGCUCCCAUUACCUCAUACUCCUCCAGUGAUCUGAGCCAAACAGGGAAACACUGGAGCAUCUGUGGUUUGCUGUGGUUGCUGGGGGGCGAUUAAUGGUCUCUGGAUUGAGGAUUUAUCUCCACAUCAGAGGAACAGUUUUUGGGGAAAUUAUUUGAUAUGCCUGGACUGAAGGCUCCUGAACACAACCAUGCUGCUGACACAGCCCUGCCCCUUCUUCUUCUCCGGCCUCGGCACCUCACCUGCAAGUGCUCUGCUAAUUAGUACAGUCUGCAACAGGGAUGAGGAAACAUGGUGUUGCUGGACAGAUGAGCGGCCUGUCACGAAGACAAUUUCCCAUACAGACAGAAGAGGAGGGAGCUGAGGAGUCAUGUCAUCGCUCGUCCUCCUCCAUGAGUGACUACAAACUCGUCACGGCGAUUUAGCUCAGCGCCCCUCCUCGUUUGUUUUCCAUCUCGCUCUGGCAGCGUGCACACUGGGUCCAUUGUAUGCAGAGACUCUACCAAUUUUACCGGAUACUCCACAAUAAGGGAGGCCUGCUGUGACCUCAGUGGGUGCGGCCUUGGAUGCAUACAAACUGACAUGCAGGAGUCCUACUGUAUGGAUGAAGGACAUGUAAACUAAAAAUAUGACGUACAGAAAGACUUCAGGCUAAUAGAAAGACUAGAAGUAAAUUCAACACGUUAACAGCUAAAUGUUUGCCCUCUUGUCCCUCUGCUGCAGCUGAUAAUCAUUUUCUAAGCAUAUUUGUGUGCACAGUGGCUCCAGGCCUAGUAUUAGGUCAUUGUUUUUAUAUCUGAGCUCAAUUAAAGAUAAGAAUUAGGUGGAGUUACUCAUGAAUGCUGCUGCAUUCACAGACAUUCAAUCAUGCAUAUGUCGGGAUUACUUAAUGGCCUUCUCUCUCACAGAAUGGACGGUUUAAAAGUCGUCUUCUGUUUCAUAUAAACUGCUGUGGGUCAGGAGUCAAACAUAUUGCCCUCACAUCAUAUUCACGUGUUGAGUAUUUGAUUAAACAGUGUUGACACAUUUGUGAACGGCUGGAACAAAGCAACAUUCUUUCUUUUUCUUUUUUUUCUUUUUUGGCUCUGGACACUGAUUAUAUUAUCACAUUUUAAGCCGUCUGAUUUACUUAUCUAACAUAUUUGGUGCAACAUUAGCAUUAAUGUGAAGUUGUUUGUGUCCACUUGUUCUAGUCUAAU